CAGAAGCAACUUGAGGAUCGUGGGCUCUUUGCAUCACACCUUCGUGGUGUGUGCAUUGAUCUCCCCAGCUGGUUUUUGGUUUGUUGAUGUGCACGAUCAGCAUCCAUGUUUUUGAUUUGCUUUCCCCAUUAUUUUUAUUUUCUUUAUUAUUUCAAUAAAUCGCACAAAAGGACAACUCUCUCAUCUGCUUCUUUAUGGAAAAUUUCCACCACAGAAAUUGGCGUCUACGAACAGGAUCCUGCGGCAGGUCGUCUGGACGGUGUGACCAGGGACGAUAGUCCUGAGGACUAGGGUCGCUCAGCCUCCAAACCUCUACAGACAUUCGAGAUGGGAGGACUACUCACCCAUCUGGAUUACCUCUGACGAGAUCCAACGAACACAAAAUCCAACCUCUACUCGGCCCGGUGAGAGAGAAAACGGGUUUGAAAUUGGUUUCAGGUAUUCGGGGUUUACUUGGCUCUGAUCAUUUGGUUUAGGGAAAGUAAGGCAAAUAACAAUUAAUUCUAAAGCAUCCCCUACUACACUAAAACAUAAAAGAAAACAUAAUUAGGACUAGAGAUGAUAAUAUUUCUAAAACGACUAUUUGGCUGAAAACAUCCAAAAUAUAAUAUUAGGGAAAAAAAUUAUGAUUUUAAAAUUUAAUAUUCUGGUAAAAUUAAUUAGAUCAAAGUCUGCCCUGGUGGCCGAGACGGUGGUUGCUAAGGGUUGGCUCGUGGGACCGAGCUUGUUUUUGUCUGUACUGAGGAUACAGACCAGUGUGCAGAUCUGAGCGCAGUCCAAAGGGUGUGGACAAGGAAAUAAAAGACGGCUUCUGAAAUACGGAGCGCGUUUGCAGGGGGAAGUGGUUUUGAGAUACGAGGGACCCGGGUCUUAGAGGGGCCUGACGGUGCGGGACCACUUCCGAGAACCCUGUCGCUGAUCUGAGCGGUUCCCUUUCUACGGAAACGUCCGUGGAAGAGAAAUUUGGAAAAAAGGUUCCGGCCGGAACACAAAAAAGUCUAAGGCAGAAAACCGCCGGGACUCUGAAAGAUGGGUUCGGGGCGAUCUAAGUCUCCACCACCAGACUGCAGCAUUACAAAAGUAAAAAGUAAUUAAAAUUAAAAGUAAAUAUGGUUAUUAGUGCGUUUCAUGUUUCCACGAGUGGGAAACUGAUUAUGGGUUCAAAAGAAGAAUCACUUAGUGUAAAAGACAUAUGCACCUUUAAAAGAAAAGUUAGAUACAAAAGAUGAGAUUUUAAAAAGCAAAACUAUCAAAACUAAAGCCCUAAAAGAAACAAAAGAGUGAUGAAAGUAACAGAAAAAAGGAGAUAACAACUCUGGGGAAGAAUUGUUUGCACUCUGCCACACACACACACACACACACACACACACACACACACACACACACACACACACACACACACACACACACACACACACACACACACACACACA